UGGGCUAGAAUGCCUCUGACAACCCUAUCUCUAGGGUUGUCAGAGGCAUUCUAGCCCAGGUAAGGUUCUUCGCGUUGCGUCGAAUUAAACCACAUGCUCCACCGCUUGUGCGGGUCCCCGUCAAUUCCUUUGAGUUUCAGUCUUGCGACCGUACUCCCCAGGCGGAAUGCUUAAAGCGUUAGCGACGGCACCCGGGGACUUUAUAACCCCAGACACCAAGCAUUCAUCGUUUAAGGCUAGGACUAC
rnacentral:misc_RNA from 1 species